rnacentral:rRNA from 1 species
CCUACGGGAGGCAGCAGUGGGGAAUAUUGCACAAUGGGGGAAACCCUGAUGCAGCGACGCCGCGUGAGUGAAGAAGUCAUUCGUUAUGUAAAGCUCUAUCAGCAGGGAAGAAAAUGACGGUACCUGAGUAAGAAUCCCCGGCUAACUACGUGCCAGCAGCCGCGGUCAUACGUAGGGGGCAAGCGUUAUCCGGAUUUACUGGGUGUAAAGGGAGCGUAGACGGCAGUGCAAGUCUGGAGUGAAAGGCGGGGGCUCAACCCCGGGACUGCUCUGGAAACUGUACGGCUGGAGUGCAGGAGAGGUAAGUGGAAUUCCGAGUGUAGCGGUGAAAUGCGUAGAUAUUAGGAGGAACACCAGUGGCGAAGGCGGCUUACUGGACUGUAACUGACGUUGAGGCUCGAAAGCGUGGGGAGCAAACAGGAUUAGAUACCCUGGUAGUC